ACCAUGAUGUGGCAAUGGUCUUUGGCCAGAGAAAUGGGUUUUAGGCGCCAUAUCUCAAUUCUCUCAAUUCUCCUUACCGCUCACAAUUCCUUCAUUCUUCUUUCAUACGCUCCUUGGAUUAUAUAUGGAAAGUUGAUUAAUUCAUCAAUUACCGGAAGAUCAUAUGGAAGCGUUUCCAAUCUUUUGCAAUUAGUCAAAAGGGGUAUUUUCUACCUUGAAACCCUAAUAUGUUCAUAGGUGAGAGUCAGAGACGCCGAUUUGGGCAAGAGAGAGAUAAUCAUAGCGAGAGAGAUAUGACUGUUAUACAAACUAAUCAGAUUCGCCAACGAUUUACGAGUGCCGAGAUCGAGAGGUAAGAAGAUUUGAAACUCAUUGGUGGAAAAGAUUGUUUCAGUGUUGAUGUAGUCGGCAUUAGGGAUCUCAAGGUGAGUUUAUAUUGUCUAACAAUUAUGAUAAUCUAAGAACGAGUGGCUGUAGGAUACUAAGAACGUUCUUCCACCACAAGGUGAGUUUAUCUUACAGUUAUUUUCUUUUUUAGUUCUCUGACGAAUUCGAUUUUGAGAUUAGGGUUUAUUUUUGUUCAUAUUAUGUUAUUUGAGUUGAUAAGAUGACAAAGAACUAUAACACUACGACUUUCAUGGGUGGUGAUUUCCAUAUUUAGGAUGACGGUUCACUUUUAGGCUCUCUCGAAGGACGGUUCUGUUGGCAAGAGAGUAAAUGAAGGUUUUUGGAUUUCUAUUGAACUUGAGGGAAGCAAGGUUUAGGUCGUUCUUGAAUAUCACAGGACUGUUCCGUAAGUAUAAAGAUCAGAUUGAAACACAUGAAUAAGUUCGCCUGGACACGUUUUCUUAAAGCACUAUUUUUUUUAGGAUUUACAUGAUUAUCUAUUAUUUGAAGCAUCUUAUUAUUGUCUGAAAGAAGGGGAGCUCCAUUGUAUGGAAAUUAGCAAGCGAGCGCUUCGGUCAGCAGAUUUGGAUGAGGUUCUGAUGGCGAAAGGGAAAAUUAGACACAUGAACCCAUUUCAAGAUUGUUUGUGGCUUUGAUUAACUUUCUCUGUUUGUUUGGCGGCCUAAAAAUGGUGACUGAAUCGUCUUUGACUCAAGAAAUUGAUAGAAGAAGACGCUCCAAUUCGAUUUGGAUAUAGGACCACUCUUCUUAUGGAUCAGUGGUGGUCCUGGUUGUUAUGGCCCAGUGGUGGUCCUGGUUGUUCUUCUAUAGCUUAUAAAGUUGCUGAAGAAAUUGGUCCUUUACAUAUUAUGUUAAACUGUAAGCAGUUGUGUAAUUACACUUAAUCAAAUUUGUAUAUCUGUUACAGUUUAUGUUGACGCAACAGAACACCUUCCCGCUGACGAUCCAAAACACCAUCUGGUAGACGCACUAUUGACAGACCCUCUGACAGAAAAAGACGCUUGCCUUGCCAUCUUAUCCUUCAAAACUUGCACAUAAGUGUCCUUUGGAUGUCUUAGCAAAUUCAUUGGUGGAGCCUUUGCAAUAAACGGUAACUUCAGGCCAUUGUAAAGCAAGAAGUUGUGGUUGACCUGAAUCUCCAAUAAACUUUAGAGGAACCAAAGAAUGAUGACGUAGCAGCUGAAAAUGAAACUGAUUUGGACGGUGACAUUUUCGAUGAAAUGCGUGAAGGAGGAUGAUGCUGAACCAACCUCUAAAGAAGAAGAAGAAGGGAGCGACGAUGAUGAUAGUGAUGGCUCAGACGAAGAAGUGAUGGUUCUAAAGAGGAGGAUGAACCUAAAACCAACAGGAUCCAAAACAUUAUUUGUUGGCAAUCUAAGUUACUAUGUUGAAGAAAAUGAUUUUAGUCCCGAGUCUGUCAUCAAACGAUUUGAGCAACAGGAAUAUGCAGUAGAUAGUAAAGGCGUUGUGGAAUACAUUAGAGCUCUUGUUGCCACUGAUGUGAUUUCUGAAUAUCUUGGUGAUGACCAAUCUGGAAAGCCUUCCACUCUUUCUACACUCUUUCUACACUGUUGCAAGAAUUGAAGGAACGCGCUUCGGGAAACUUGGAUGAAACCUUUCUAAGCCCUCGUAUAUCUGAGAGGCAGCCAUUGCAUGUAAUGAUGGUAAGAGUUUACUUUAAAUAUUUGUCACAAGCUGCUGAUUCAAAAGAAGUUGCUUUUUUGUAAGUGCCAUUGCUAAUGAGAAGUUAAAUGCAGAUAAAGAAGCUGCUGGUAGUAAAAAGAAAACAAGUAUGCUGUUAUAGACUAUUAUCUAUACUAAAACAUAAGGAAUCAAAAAGUAAUUUACUCAAUAUUUCAAUUAGGUCAGAGCUAUUCGUGUGAAUACUAACUAAGAAAAAGAGUUACUAAACCGAAGACGUGUCUGCUUCUUGUAAUAAGAACACGGUUUAAUUACAGAUUUCCAAGAAUCUAGGACGAUGGAUAAGUCGAACAUUGAAUUAUUAUAAUACAUGAGCAGGUGAAUCAAUUUCAAUUAAAAAGAGUAGUAAAAAGACCAAAAUACCCUCAAAAGGUUAGUUUUGGCGAAUUUUAAAGUGAAAGGUAUAGUCUGCAGUUUAGAUGAAACGUAAAGGUUGUUUGUCCAAUUUUGUCUUUUUUAUAGUAUAAAUGUGUUAAGCGGAUGAACCCGCCAACCCGACCAGGUUUACCCGAACCCGACUUGCAAAGAUAUGUCAUAUGUGCUUUGCUGAUUUAACUCUUUAAACUUUGGGAAAAAGGAUCUGAUGGCAGUAAAGGGAAGGUGUGUUUUCUUAAUAGACUUUGGAUCAUUAUAUGAAUGUUUGCUUAGUGAUUACUAAAUGUGAAGCCUGGAUAUCCGUAUGUAUCAAGUAAAUAAAUUGAAAUGGAAAAUUGCAUGACCAUUAUCAAACAUAGAAUACAGGAUAAAACCAUAAUAGGCUUGCAACUAGGUUUUCAUAGUGGCAUACUACGAUUUGUCUGUAUAAUUUCAGAGGCUAGUAAAUGGGUCGGACAAGUUGAAUAACUGGUUAUAAUGAGCAAUUUUUUUGGUACAGAUCAGGUUGGAUUGACCUAAUACUAAUUUACUUGUAAGUUAAUUACUUGGAUACAUUUCUUGCUAUUCCUGAAUUGCCUUUGAGUUUAAUUUUAUUUUAUUAGUUCGUCAAGAUAUUUUCAGUUAUUUGACUAAAAUGUGUCUAUUAAUUUUAUGUUGUUUGGUGACACUAGGCAAGUGCCUAGAUGAUGCAGUUGUUGACUGUUGCAUGUCUUAAAUGCCCAUCAUUUUUUAUUUGCACAUGGAGAUACUAUUUUAAAUUAGGAUGUUGACUUUCUUUGUGGGGUCAAAGUAAAUUUGACUAUGACGUUUAGAAUUCUGAUUGAGAAACGGGUCCCUUAAUUGGGUCUUCCACUGCAGCGCAGUGGUUGUUCCCAUCUUGAGGCUUGGCCUGGGGUUUUACUCGGGUUCGAGUCUGAGUGGGGCGCAGUUUUACCUAUUCCACGGAGUUUCUGCACAUCAGGGGUGUGAUACGCUUUCUAGCGGUGGUCGAGUAGUCGGCCUUUGGACAUAACUCCGAAAGGGUGGGUUUACACGUGGAAAGCAGUUAGCCGUUCAAAAAAAUAAAAAACAAAAACGGGUCCCUUAGUUGUAGAACUACAAUUAUAGCCCUUAAUUGCACAUCAGGGGUGUGCUACACUUUCUAAUGGUUUUUGCUAUAUUGCGUUUAAUUGAUAUGAAAGUGCUGAACCGAUGAAUGUCUGAUUUAAAUCCCUAGAUGUCAAUGUAAAGCAUUGUCUCCUUCAUCUCACUCUCUCAAUCUCCGCAGGAGCUUCUAACUCAAAUUAAAGGCAACCCCUCUUUCUCUUUCUCUCUCACUAUCUCUUACACAUUAGUUCAUAUUUUUAAAUUAUAUAAUUAUAUUUGAAGAAAAUUAAUGGCUACAUUGAAAAUUAUAAAGAAUACUGUAGAUGAGGUUUUUUUACCGAUCAAAAUUUUAGUGCCCUUUACUAAUAUUGCACCUGUUACCAAAAUCUAUCUUGGUGGCCUUUACUGAUCAAAAUUUGUAAUGGUGCCCUUUACUCGCAAUUUUUAAUAUGUAGCUGUAAGUAUGAUUGUUAGUAUGUAGCUUAAACAGAUGUGUGAAUGGACUUCAAUGGUUAAUUCUAUUAGAUUUAAGAUUGGUUAAGCCGUAAAUCCAUUUUCUAAAAUCUAUAAUUGCUUUUUAGGAUUUUUGAACUUUUCAGGCGAGUUAAGAGGCGUUGCAAAUAUCGUUGACCAUAUGCGGCGUUGCCAGUGGUGGAGACCAAUUGUGGCAUUGGGGUAAGGAUUCCAUAAAAAUUAAUGUAAAUGGUUGAUUUGAGGUACCGUUUAUGCACCAGGUUAUAAUGGAUUCGUAGAAUAAUAGUAAUAGUUGAAGAGGUAAAGGUUGGGAAAUACAUCAGAGUCCAUCCUAAUCGGUUCCUCACGUUUAAGGGUUUGGAAUUUAUAUCUACUAAUAGCACAAUGGAAAUGAACAGUGUAUAUAGUCGUGGUUUGUUCUGAUUAGGCGAUCAUCCCCCUUUGAGACACGUGUUGUUCAGCUUUACCAACACCUCUUUGAAAGUCUCAGACGAGACUCAAGAGAAAAGCCUGUUACCAUUUCUGUUGAUGAUGGGAUCCGCCCAGGAACAAGUUUGGCAGAUCUUGCAAAAUCAAAACCCGUAUUUAGGAAAGAUGAGUCGAUCACUGCUGCCAAGUGAGUGACGGUGUUGAGCCGUUGUCCUUAUGAAGAGAAGUAUCGCUCUACAGAAAAGAUUACCAACUGUUGGUGUAUUCAGGACUUUUGUUGUUAGUGGUGUACCACCAACAAUAAUGGGCAUUGGCCUUGCUGUGGCAAUUCCAGUUGCAGUUAAGGCUGUUGGGUUUCAAAUGGAUGAUAUUGACCUUUUCGAGAUCAGAGAAGACAUGGUCAUUUGGAAUCACAACACUUGACCACUAAUUUUCUAGACACAACUUUUACUUUCUUCACUUUUUCUCAUUGAGGUUUAUGAGAUUAAAUGAAAGGUAGAUUAGGAAGUUUUUUGUUAGAGCCAACUGCAGUUUAAGCUAGAUAAUGAGACAACUUGACCUGUUGUAUAGAGUUUGCAUAUGUUACAUA